rnacentral:rRNA from 1 species
AAAUUGAAGAGUUUGAUCAUGGCUCAGAUUGAACGCUGGCGGCAGGCCUAACACAUGCAAGUCGAGCGGAAACGAGUUAUCUGAACCUUCGGGGAACGAUAACGGCGUCGAGCGGCGGACGGGUGAGUAAUGCCUAGGAAAUUGCCCUGAUGUGGGGGAUAACCAUUGGAAACGAUGGCUAAUACCGCAUAAUGCCUACGGGCCAAAGAGGGGGACCUUCGGGCCUCUCGCGUCAGGAUAUGCCUAGGUGGGAUUAGCUAGUUGGUGAGGUAAUGGCUCACCAAGGCGACGAUCCCUAGCUGGUCUGAGAGGAUGAUCAGCCACACUGGAACUGAGACACGGUCCAGACUCCUACGGGAGGCAGCAGUGGGGAAUAUUGCACAAUGGGCGCAAGCCUGAUGCAGCCAUGCCGCGUGUGUGAAGAAGGCCUUCGGGUUGUAAAGCACUUUCAGUCGUGAGGAAGGUAGUGUAGUUAAUAGCUGCAUUAUUUGACGUUAGCGACAGAAGAAGCACCGGCUAACUCCGUGCCAGCAGCCGCGGUAAUACGGAGGGUGCGAGCGUUAAUCGGAAUUACUGGGCGUAAAGCGCAUGCAGGUGGUUUGUUAAGUCAGAUGUGAAAGCCCGGGGCUCAACCUCGGAAUAGCAUUUGAAACUGGCAGACUAGAGUACUGUAGAGGGGGGUAGAAUUUCAGGUGUAGCGGUGAAAUGCGUAGAGAUCUGAAGGAAUACCGGUGGCGAAGGCGGCCCCCUGGACAGAUACUGACACUCAGAUGCGAAAGCGUGGGGAGCAAACAGGAUUAGAUACCCUGGUAGUCCACGCCGUAAACGAUGUCUACUUGGAGGUUGUGGCCUUGAGCCGUGGCUUUCGGAGCUAACGCGUUAAGUAGACCGCCUGGGGAGUACGGUCGCAAGAUUAAAACUCAAAUGAAUUGACGGGGGCCCGCACAAGCGGUGGAGCAUGUGGUUUAAUUCGAUGCAACGCGAAGAACCUUACCUACUCUUGACAUCCAGAGAAUUUUCCAGAGAUGGAUUAGUGCCUUCGGGAACUCUGAGACAGGUGCUGCAUGGCUGUCGUCAGCUCGUGUUGUGAAAUGUUGGGUUAAGUCCCGCAACGAGCGCAACCCUUAUCCUUGUUUGCCAGCGAGUAAUGUCGGGAACUCCAGGGAGACUGCCGGUGAUAAACCGGAGGAAGGUGGGGACGACGUCAAGUCAUCAUGGCCCUUACGAGUAGGGCUACACACGUGCUACAAUGGCGCAUACAGAGGGCAGCAAGCUAGCGAUAGUGAGCGAAUCCCAAAAAGUGCGUCGUAGUCCGGAUUGGAGUCUGCAACUCGACUCCAUGAAGUCGGAAUCGCUAGUAAUCGUGGAUCAGAAUGCCACGGUGAAUACGUUCCCGGGCCUUGUACACACCGCCCGUCACACCAUGGGAGUGGGCUGCAAAAGAAGUAGGUAGUUUAACCUUCGGGAGGACGCUUACCACUUUGUGGUUCAUGACUGGGGUGAAGUCGUAACAAGGUAGCGCUAGGGGAACCUGGCGCUGGAUCACCUCCUUAAACGAUGAU